rnacentral:rRNA from 1 species
ACGGGUGAGUAACACGUGGGUGAUCUGCCCUGCACUUUGGGAUAAGCCUGGGAAACUGGGUCUAAUACCAGAUAGGACCAUGCUUUGGAUGGUGUGGUGGAAAGUUUUUUCGGUGUGGGAUGAGCUUGCGGCCUAUCAGCUUGUUGGUGGGGUAAUGGCCUACCAAGGCGUCGACGGGUAGCCGGCCUGAGAGGGUGUACGGCCACAUUGGGACUGAGAUACGGCCCAGACUCCUACGGGAGGCAGCAGUGGGGAAUAUUGCACAAUGGGCGCAAGCCUGAUGCAGCGACGCCGCGUGGGGGAUGACGGCCUUCGGGUUGUAAACUCCUUUCGCAGCUGACGAAACUUUUUGUGACGGUAGGUUGAGAAGAAGCACCGGCUAACUACGUGCCAGCAGCCGCGGUAAUACGUAGGGUGCGAGCGUUGUCCGGAAUUACUGGGCGUAAAGAGCUCGUAGGUGGUUUGUCGCGUCGUGUGUGAAAUUCCGGGGCUUAACUUCGGGGUUGCAUACGAUACGGGCAUAACUUGAGUGCUGUAGGGGAGACUGGAAUUCCUGGUGUAGCGGUGAAAUGCGCAGA